AUAGCACAAAAAUAUUUUCGUCUCUCAUUUUCCCCAAAACUAUUUCUAAUUAUGGUAUAGUUGAACUCUUCGUCGGCCAUUGAUUGUAAUUAGUACUCUCUACUCCGGCCAUUACUACUUUGGCGCUCCGUUCGGCCAUUGCCUUCUAUUUAAAUUUUUUCUCCGUUGUAUUCAAACUCCUACAACUCCCAGCUCCCAGGUAAUUGUUUCAUAUUUUUAAUAACUGUUCUUCUGCUAAUUGCUCAAUUGAGGUCAGAUUUGUGUUAUUCUAACCAUAGAAAAUUCAUAUAACGAAGUACAUAUAUUGCCUAGGACAUGUCCAAAUACAGCUUCAAAUUGAGGUCAAAUCUGUGUUAUAUAUAUACUCUAAGAAAGAUCAAGUAAAUAGAUAAAAACAGGAGGAAAAUGGAGAAAAUAGAGCACAAAAAUGAAUCAGUUAAUGGGAUAAAUAUGCAUGUUGCAGAAAUUGGUGAAGGUCUAACAGUUCUAUUUGUACAUGGCUUCCCUGAACUAUGGUAUUCAUGGCGCCAUCAGAUGUUAUACCUUUCUAACAAAGGUUAUAGAGCCAUUGCUCAUGAUCUUCAUGGCUAUUGAGACACUGAUUGUCCAUCUGAGAUUGAUAGUUACACUGUUUUCCACAUUGUUGGUGACUUAGUUGCUCUGCUAGAUGUUCUUGAACUAGAGCAAGUGUUUUUAGUUGGACAUGAUUGGGGUGCUUUAAUAUGUUGGUAUUUCUGCUUGUUUCGUCCUGAUCGUAUCAAGGCUUUGGUUAAUAUGAGUGUUAAGUUUCGUCCCAGAAAUUCGUUGAGAAAGCCAAUGAAUAUCCUGAGGGAGUUUCUCGGUAAUGACUAUUAUAUGUGUAGAUUUCAGGUAUAGUGUACUCUUUUACUUUAUGAUUGAACUAGAAAAAAAAUUCUUCAGAACCAUUUGAACCAGUAGCUUGUGAGGUUGAAGCCAUCCUUAAUUAGUUCCAUUUUUAGAAUUUUGCACAUAUUCAGUUGUGUCCCAAAGCGAUUAGUGUGUCGGGUUGACUUAGAUGUACUUUUUUAUCCUAAGAAUCCACUAACUUGAAGGAAAUAUUAAUUAUCUUUCCAUUCUUUUUGGAUAACUUAUUGCUUGGUGAUGACUAUUAUGUGUGUAAAUUUCUGUUAUAAUGUUUCUUUUGUUUCGUUCCAACUAAAUUGGAAAUAAUCUUCAGAACUAUUUGCACAGUGAUCACCUCACUAGCUAGCUUUUGAGUUUGAGGCCAGCCUAUAUUAGUUCCAUUUAACAAUUUUGUACAUAUUCAGUUGUGUCCUAGGCAACAUAUGUGUGGGAGUUGACUUAGAUCCCAUAUCCAUUCUCUUAACAUGAGUUAGAUCCAAAUAUCCAUUUGUUACUCUAAUAAAUUGACUAUAGAUCUUUCUAAUAUUCUUUUAGCUGACCCAAACUAGUUUAGGAUUGAGCACUAGUUGAUUGAUUGAGCCUAACUAGUUUAAGAUUAAGCCAGUGGAAAUAUUUUAGAGCAACUUUAAAAAAUAUCAAUCAAGUUAAACGUCUCUGCUUCCUUUUUGGAUAUCUUAUCUUAUUUAUCAUUAUCCGGAGAGAAGCUAAUGUGAUGGUCUGAUGGAUGCUAUUGGUCAUGCCAGAUCUUUUCUUUAGUAGCUAAAUUUGAAUCCAAUAUGCAAGUCAAACAAGAAUAAGUGAUGUUGUGUCCUCUUAAAUUAACUGCAUCGGAUACUUAGCUCCCACUUGGUCAUAGAUUUUGAGGUUGAAACUAGAAAAUUUGAGUUUUAGAAUUUGAAGCUGUAUUUGGACAUGAGAUAAUAAUUGCUGGUUGAUUGACCAUUUGAGAAACCAACCUGAAGUACAUGAUUUGAAUUUGGGAAAAUAAGAUAUAGUGGACUUAAUUACUAAAGUUCAUUGAAGUAUAAUCUUGAGGUUGUUGUGCAUAUUGAUUUGAUAGGUGAAAUUUCUAUUGUAAAGCUGGGUUUGUACAUUUUGGUGAAAGGAAAAAGGACCUGUUUUACAAGAGUAAACUGUUGACGUAUAUAACCUGACACUUCCCAAGUUCCAUAGGCAUUUCAUGCGGUCCUCAUAUAGUUUAAGUUGGAGAAGGUGAAUUUUGCUGGUCAUCUGGACAUCUAGCUUUUAUGUAGUAUACGUUAGAUGAAAGUUAAGAAGAUAGGAUGACACUACAUUUCACUACUUUAUUUUUUUUGAUGGUUUCUAGGCCUCAACUAAAUCCACAAACUACCUACCACCAAUAUAGGUACCACUUACCAGAUAACUUUAUCCACCAAGAUUUGGAUAGUUGACAAGAAAUCACCGUGUUUUUUCUACGUUUAACUCGAGAAUUUAAAGACUAGUAUGAAUGUGUCUAGUUAUAUAGGUGUAUUUUAUCCAUAGGAGAAGACUUAACAAGAAGAGUUAGAGAUUACUCAAUGAACAUACAUCAUUUACUAGCAAAAGAAAUAUUGUUAUUCCGUAUUUACUCUAGAUAGAAGUAAAUGAGCCUGUGAAUGAGGAUAUCCUGAAUUGUUAAUUGACCUUUGUCUACUAUAGAGAUGAAUGAGCUUGUAAUAGGACAAUCAUGAAGAUUCAUUUGAUUACAAGAUACACGUCUCUAUUAACAGUUAUAGACAAAGUAAUAUUGCUCGAGUCUUAACCAGGUAAGAUUGACCUUAAAAGCUUAUUAAAGAUGGCAAGUCAUAUUUAGAUUGUGGGUUCUGAUAAAUCACCUUGACAGUUUUGAAGUUUCUCUCGCUCAUUUUAUGUCUUGUCUCCUCCUUGGUUUGUUUUUGUGCUUUCAUAGUUAAUAAGUAGUAGUACUGAUAUUUUACAGAUUCCUUAUGACUGUUACUGUUUCUAUAGCAAGACAAGGUCAUCUGGUCAUCACAACAAAGGUAACGAGUGAAAGUUCUGAAUCCUUAUCCUCCCUAAGUGUUGUUAAAUCAAUAAAGAAUAUUGUGAGUAUCCUUUCUGUCCAUUUUCUAUUCUCAUCUUGAUUUCUAGAGUUCCAUUGUAGUGACCUUGGAUAAUGAAAAGUGCAUUAUCAUAAAGUAGCCAGGCUAAGGCUUUUGAAUCUGGUCGUCUUAAACUAAACAUAUCAAGUGGAAAACUGAAAUUAAAGAGUAGCUAGAAAAGGAAAUAAACGUUCUUCUUGAAAGAAACUAAAAAGAAAGUAAGACUAAUAAAUUGAAAUGAGGGGAGUACUUUAUUUUCCAUGUUUAGUAUACCAGGUUCACUACGAAGAUUAUCUGUUUUAUAGUCUACUGGUAGUUGAUAAGCUACUUACUUUUUACAAGUGGGAAAAAAGUAAGUAUAACUUGUUAAAGCAUGAUGUUCAUAUAACUUGUUUAUAAUAAGGAUUGCGAGUUUAUCGAUUGAUUCUUAUACUUUGCAUUUUUAUGUAGCCAAGUGAUGUGGCUAGUGGACUCAUUUCGCCCAUAGAUGCAAG
rnacentral:lncRNA from 1 species